UGCUACUUCCUUCAGCAGCAAUCUACUAAAACUGGAAUGAUACAGAAAAGAAUAGCAUGGCCCCUAUGCAAGGAUGACACACAAAUUUGUGAAGCAUUCAAUAUUUUU
rnacentral:snRNA from 1 species